rnacentral:rRNA from 1 species
UGGGGAAUAUUGCACAAUGGAGGGAACUCUGAUGCAGCGACGCCGCGUGAACGAAGAAGGCUUUCGAGUCGUAAAGUUCUUUUAUAUGGGAAGAUAAUGACGGUACCAUAAGAAAAAGCCCCUGCUAACUACGUGCCAGCAGCCGCGGUAAUACGUAGGGGGCUAGCGUUGUCCGGAAUCACUGGGCGUAAAGGGUUCGCAGGCGGAAAUGCAAGUCAGGUGUAAAAGGCAGUAGCUUAACUACUGUAAGCAUUUGAAACUGCAUAUCUUGAGAAGAGUAGAGGUAAGUGGAAUUUUUAGUGUAACGGUGAAAUGCGUAGAUAUUAAAAAGAAUACCGGUGGCGAAAGCGACUUACUGGGCUCAUUCUGACGCUGAGGAACGAAAGCGUGGGUAGCAAACAGG